UACGUAGGGUGCAAGCGUUAUCCGGAAUCACUGGGUUUAAAGGGCGCGUAGGCGGCUUUGUAAGUCGGGGGUGAAAGCCUGUGGCUCAACCACAGAAUUGCCUUCGAUACUGCAUGGCUUGAGACCGGAAGAGGUUAGUGGAACUGCGAGUGUAGAGGUGAAAUUCGUAGAUAUUCGCAAGAACACCAGUGGCGAAGGCGGCUGACUGGUCCGGUUCUGACGCUGAGGCGCGAAAGCGUGGGGAGCAAACAGG
rnacentral:rRNA from 1 species